rnacentral:rRNA from 1 species
ACGUUGGUGGAUUAGAUACCCGAGUAGUCCACGCCCUAAACGUUGGAUGCUGGGUAUGGUGGGUAUCGACCCCCUCCGUGCCGAAGUUAACGCGUUAAGCAUCCCGCCUGGGAAGUACGGCCGCAAGGCUAAAACUCAAAGGAAUUGACGGGGGCCCGCACAAGCGGUGGAGCGUGUGGUUUAAUUCGAUGCUAAGCGAAGAACCUUACCAGGGCUUGACAUGUUGGUAGUAGAAACCCGAAAGGGCAACG